rnacentral:tRNA from 1 species
GGGCCGGUAGUCUAGUGGUCAGGAUUCGUUCAAGACUGAAACCACCCUUACACGGUGGGGGUCGGGAGUUCGAAUCUCCCCCGGCCCACCA